rnacentral:lncRNA from 1 species
GUCAAUUUUUCGAUCUAAUACUUAAUUAUUUUAACUGUUUAAGAAAAAUAUUUGUUUCUCAUCCAAAAAAUAUUAUAACAUUAAUCUCACCAAAAAUGAGAAAUGCUAUAAUUAUCAAAAGCACAGCAAGAUGAGAAAACGAGUAGGCAAACUAAUAAGAAGCUUUCGAGUUUCUGAUAAUUCUUGGACGCAAAUGCACCAGCAUCCGAUUGAUUGAUUUGCUUGCAACCUUCUUCACAAGCGCCUUUACACCUGGUUUCAGUUGCUUCUUCAAUUCCCAAGCACUUAGGCAUGCAGUCCUUCAUACACUCUGCACUGGCAGCUUGACAUAGCUGGAUGGUGUUUGCCAUGAAAAUGGCAGUGAAGAUGAGCAUGCCUAGGGUUUUCUUGGAAGCUGCCAUACUUUGUUUUGUUUCCUGGUCUGCUGGAU